AUGAAAUCCUCAUGCCUAGAAAAUACUUUGAAGUCGACUUUCCGAUGAUUGCUGGCAGGAAAAUAAACAACAAAGACAGAACCACCGCUGUCAAAACCUCUCAUUGAGACCCACUCCACAGACUCAUUAUUACUAGAUGGCCACAGCCUAGACUCAGACUGGUAAUGCAUCAUCGGUGCUGACCUCAGGGACAUCCCAGGCCUAGAUGACAAACUGAAGAAGUUCCACCUCAACCCAGAGAGAGGAGAGGAAAAAGGAACCCAUCAACACCUUCACAUCAGACUCCAGUCUUCUCUGUCUGCCUGCUCGGUGUCUGGCUGCCUGCUCGGUGUCUGGCUGCCUGCUCGGUGUCUCUCUGUCUGCUCUGUGGGAAAUGCAUGGCAUCAGCAGAAUUCUACUGAAUGUGUUUCCUUUGCAUCCCAUAAGAGCACCCACUGUCUCCCAGCAUGCUUUUGUGAAAGAGAAGGGAUGUUUCCGCUGGAAGUGUGAUACAGUGCAUUUGGAAAGUA